rnacentral:tRNA from 1 species
UGGGGAAUGGUGUAAUGGUAGCACGCAGCACUCUGGAUGCUGAGAUUGGGGUUCGACUCCCUGUUCCCCAGCCA